CACGACUCUCACUUCUGUUAUCCCCAAAACACCAGCACUAUGAGCAAACCAUUAAACACAAACUAUUUUCUCUUCAGUCUUUCCCUGAAAACCAUUUUCUCUUCAAUCUUUCUCUUGAAAACCUACCUCCAUUAAACCUUCGAGAGAAGUCUUUCUCCGGAUUAUAUUUUUCUUAAAUCCUUCUCUUCAAAACCCACCACUAUUUUCUCUUCAAUAGUACUUGUGCUUGAUUUUCUGUGGUGAUUCAUUACGAAGUUAGGCAAUAAUUGAGCUUCAUAAUUUGAAUGACAGCAUUAUCUGAUCUUCAAGAAGGUUCUGAAGAAUAGAUCUAAUGGAGCUCAACUGGUUAUUUAGUGC